rnacentral:rRNA from 1 species
AGUGAACGCUGGCGGUAGGCCUAACACAUGCAAGUCGAACGGCAGCACAGUAAGAGCUUGCUCUUACGGGUGGCGAGUGGCGGACGGGUGAGGAAUACAUCGGAAUCUACUUUUUCGUGGGGGAUAACGUAGGGAAACUUACGCUAAUACCGCAUACGACCUACGGGUGAAAGCAGGGGAUCUUCGGACUCGGCGGGUGUGGAUGAGCCGGUGGCGGAUUAGCUAGUUGGUGGGGUAGUGGCCCACCAAGGCUUUGAUGGGUAGCUGGCCUGAGAGGGUGGCCGGCCACAUUGGGACUGAGAUACGGCCCAGACUCCUACGGGAGGCAGCAGUGGGGAGUAUUGCACAAUGGGCGGAAGCCUGAUGCAGCAACGCCGCGUGCGGGAUGACGGCCUUCGGGUUGUAAACCGCUUUCGCCUGUGACGAAGCGUGAGUGACGGUAAUGGGUAAAGAAGCACCGGCUAACUACGUG